CUCUUAUGAAGAAACCGUUCUUACGGAAGCCCAGAUGAGACAACUUGAGACAGGAUUCAGAAACGCUGAUUUUAGUAACCUUAACCCUCGGCCCUUGGUGGGAACUUCGGCUCUGUGGGAAUUAGUCUUUGGGGGACUGAUGGUCAUGCUGAAAUCUUAUUGCGUAGGAAAUUAAGUACAACAAAGAAGACCCGUCGUGAGAGGAGAGUGCGGAAGAAAUGCGAAGUCUACGGGAGGUGGCAGCUGCAGAAGCUUGGUGUUGGAUUUGGCGUUAGGAGACCGGGAGGAGCCCAGCUUCCGGUCCAGACGGUUAUCUUGUUGACUUGCACGACUGCAAACGCCCUGAGCUGCUUUUGCAGUCUGAAACAUCAGCGAUCCCAUCAAAAUAUUCUGUUUCUUGGGAUAUAAGAAACAUCCCAAGGCGGGCUGUAGAGCGAGAGAUUUGGACUCGAUUUAAAUACAGACAAAAUAGUAUGCAUUUACUAACACCACAUCUCACCCCCACGAAACUUGGUGGUCCAUAAAGCUGCUCUGGAGCCAAAAUAUUGCAGUCACAUCUCGGCAGCGACCUGCCCUCAGGUGGCAUUUUCAAGUCAUGGAGAAGGCGGAGCUCACCAAGGAAAAGACAAACUCCUAAAAGCUUCCAGGGAGAAAGUCAUGCAUAAACAAGUGAAACUCAGGAUGGCAUGAGGCUUCGCCACCACGACUGGUUAGAAGACAACAGCACAGACUUUGAAAUUCUAAGAUCAUCUUUGUAACAAGAAGAAAACCAACCAAAUGAAAAUGAAAUGAAUUCUCUCAAAAAGAAUUAAGUCAAGACAGGAAGAAGGCUCGCAAAGUAAUAUAAAAUAUAUCUUAUGGUUUAUGGAAAAUUCUUAAUAAAAUACCUUCUUUGCUCCAAGCUGCACUCUGGCUUUGCCUUUGAGUCAGGUGGCAUGUCUUUGCACGAUGACUGGUUCUAUUGAGUAGGCACUGCUUCAGCCCUACAGGAAGAACAAAACCUC
rnacentral:lncRNA from 10 species